rnacentral:rRNA from 1 species
UACGUAGGUGGCAAGCGUUGUCCGGAUUUACUGGGCGUAAAGAGCGCGCAGGCGGUCGUUCAAGUCGCGUGUGAAAGCCCCCGGCUCAACUGGGGAGGGUCACGCGAUACUGAUCGACUCGAAGGCAGGAGAGGGUAGUGGAAUUCCCGGUGUAGUGGUGAAAUGCGUAGAUAUCGUGGAGAACACCCGUGGCGAAGGCGGGCUUCUGGCUAAUUACUGACGCUGAGGUGCGAAAGCUAGGGGAGCGAACGGG